ACAGAUGAGAAAACUGAAACAUUGAGAAGUCAAGUAACUUGCUCAAGAUUAUAUAGCUAGUGCAUAGAGGGGCAAAGAUUUGAACCAGAUUGCCUGGUUCCACAUGCACUUUAACCUGCUUUAUUUAGGCUUUUGAAAGCAACCUAAAUAGCUAACAUUGACUAAAUAAGUGCAGUAUACCUGGUCUGUGUGACAUUUUGCAGGUAUUAAAAAGUGAACAUUCUGAACCCUUUUAGCAAUAUGGCAAAUACUUCUGAUGUGAUGUAUGCAUAUAAAUAUGAUCGAAAGCAAAUAUCCCAAAAGGUUGAUGGCAGUUAUGUCAGGUUAGUAGCACAAUAGUUUCUUUUCUCAUUUUCUCACAUUUUUAGUAAUGUGUGUUGCCUAUAUUAAAAAACAAAUAUUAAAAAGUAGUAGCAUGUAUUAGAUCAGAGCAUGGGCUCAGACUGCCUGUGUCAUCUCUUAUUAGAUGUAUGACCAGGGACAAGUUAUUGACCUUUUGUUUCUAAGUCUCUAAGUUUAUCCUGUAAAAUGAAGAUAAUUGUAGUAACUACCUAAUAACAUGAUUGUAAGGAUUAAAUUAUUUAGAACACUAUUUGUUACUUGGAAAAUAUGCAAUCAUAAGCUAUUUUGUUGUUAUUGUUAUUUUACUACCAAAGCUUAUUGUUUCAGAGCCCCUAGGUGACCAGGCAAAAUGGCAGUUCCUUCCAGCUGGUCCUCAGAUGGGCACAUCUAUUAGCCUCUGCUCUUGUAAGAAGUUAGCUGCAGAACCCACAUGUGAAUCCUUGUAGUGCUUUAUCAAAUUUCUACUAUGAACUAAGAACUGAGUGCUAUGGGAGACACAAAGGAGAGUCAGGACUCUGGAGAAGAUCAAAUGGGAGCUUAGAUGUGGAAGCUCUUUGGAAACCAAGAAACACUCUGAAAAUGAAAAGGGUGGAAGAGUAAACUGUUCCUGUUUCUCCAUCUUGACAGGAAGCAGAAGUUCUCCUUAGCUGAUUUUUCUUCUUGCCUUAUACUGGGUUCUUUAACACCAGAACAAAAAUAAAUAAAUAAAAGAAUCUUCCAGAAAUUCAUGAAGAGACUUCAGGUCAGGAAAGCCUGAACUUUCUCAUCCAACACCCGUUCAAGUCGGAGGAUGCUGAUUAAUUCAUGAUGGAAAGGUAUCAAUUUCACAGCCCAGACCUCUACAUUCUUGAAAUGCUCUUCUCAUGGGAGACAUUAAAUAAGCUUUGAAUUAACUGACCAAUCAUGAUCUUUAUAGAAAAAUUGGAAGGAAGUACAGAAACAUGUGAAUGGAAAAAUAUCCAACCCGAGCAGGAUAAAACUGAUCAUCCUGAGGAUAUUGCCCUUGGAGUUAAUUUUUUGAGAGAAAUAAAACAAUAAACAUCAUAAGACACAAACCCCAAGCAACUGGUAACCCUGGGAUAUAAAAACAUAUCCAUUGAUAUUUAACCUACCACAGAUUGGCACUAAAUGUAACAACAGUAGGACUAGGACAACUUGGGAUCAUGUGAACAGACCAGAAACUACAGACUGCAACAGAAAUGUGCAGAUUGCCCAGGUGGUUUCUACAGCCUUGCAGCGAUGAAACCCCAUGUCUUAUAUACUUGGUGUUUCCUCUGUUUGAUUCUAAUGAGCUUCUAAUCUCUACUGAUGGUGUUUCUCUUUCUACCUCAUCAGCCCAGGGCUCAUUCAUUUUAUCCUGUUUCACCUAUGCUAUAGAUAAUAGAAAACCCAAGGCCACUCAAACAUAAGUAGCUUGAUCAAUGCUAAUUCCUGAUCAAGUCAACCCAAUAUCCAGCAUCAAUUAGAUAAUGUAAAUUGUAUUUCCUCACUAAUUUAUUAUAAAUUAUAAUAAAAUGUAAAGCAUAGUGUUUAUAAUAUACCAGACAUUAUCCUAGCUCUUUUGCAUGAAUUGACUUUU
rnacentral:lncRNA from 1 species